GGCGGGGUCUGACCUUGGCUGCUGGCAGGGCCCGCCGGCUGAGGCAAGGACUGCCUGGCCGCUUGGAGUGGUCACGGUCCGUUGGAUCCCGAGUGAGGAUGGAGAGGGCGAGGAGAACUCGCGGCCCGAACAGGUGAUGACCAUGCACGGGAAAGGCAGGGGCAGAACCCAGGCCUGAACGCCAGCCACCAGAAUCCUCCCGGGGAUUGAGCAGUGGUGCCCGGAACAGAUCCCAUCCGCGCCAGCUCCUGGUCACUGGACCUGCCACCACCCUCCCCCCAAGCAGAGCAGAGAAGACCCCCCCCUCCCCCGGCCAGGGAGGGGGUGGGCAGAGGAGAAGGUAUUAGGAACAUCCAGACAGUGCAGGGGCCGCUGGGGGCGGGCGGGAUUAGCAGAUUAGCUCCGAGGAGGACAGAGAUGAGGUCAGUGCUAAGUGGAUUUCCAGAAAGCGGCCUCCAGUCCAACAGCCCCGGCCCCAGAAGCAGCAGGGCCACGAGGAGGGGCCAAGAGCCAGUCACGGGGGCAACAGGUGCGCCGCUGGCCCCGGCCUCCACUUCUGAGCCUCUGCCAGCGGGCCGUGUGCUUUAACCCCUCCUCGCCUCAGUUUCCUCAUCCAGAGAGUGGGGCCAUGGCGGUCGUGUCGACCUCAGAGGAGAAGAGUGCUCGUUAGUGCCAGGUUCGUGCGUCCGGCACCGAGCAGGUGCUCAGUGAACAUUCUUAGGACUGUCCUCUAAAGGUCAUCCUCAAGCCCCAGGGUCAAACGCGAGCAAAGAAAGAACUUGUUGGUCAAUGUGAAGUCAGGCAAAAGCAGGAGUUCCAUGCAGGAGCACGGUGUACGUACAGAAGAAGUGUGCCCCCCGCCGCCGCCGCCCUGGUGGCCACGUCACGCCCCCGACCCCCGCCGUUUCGGCCACAGUGGCACACGUGGCCCCUCCCCACCCUGACGGUGCCCGAGCCCGGUGUGCACCGAGCCCCGAAGGCGUUAACGCCCCAGGACGGGCCUCACCAGCGGGCACACGCCCCAGCCUCCUGUCUGCAGACAAACCGUCGUGGGGGCAUCCAGAAGCACGAGAGCCCCUGUGUGUUGGCUCCCCCGUGCCGCCCCCUCACCUGGCGUCACCCCGAAUACGCCUCCCGUGCCCCAGGCCGUGCCACCGGGGCAAGCAGACAAGCACCACGUUCCAAACAGGAAGCGGAGCGGACUCUGAGAAGCACAGGUGUGGGAAGGAGCAGUGAUGGUGGCGUUUCUUUUCUGUCCCUCCGAACGUCCAGGAGUACAAUCGUGUGACUCAA